rnacentral:rRNA from 1 species
CCUACGGGCGGCAGCAGUGAGGAAUAUUGGUCAAUGGACGAGAGUCUGAACCAGCCAAGUCGCGUGAAGGAUGACUGCCCUCUGGUUUGUAAACUUCUUUUAUAUGGGAAUAAAGUACCGUAUGUAUACAGCCUUGUAUGUACCAUAUGAACAAGGAUCGGCUAACUCAGUGCCGGCAGCCGCGGUAAUACGGAGGAUCCGAUCGUUAUCCGGAUUUAUUGGGUUUUAAGGGAGCGUAGGCGGUAUGUUAAGUCAGUUGUGAAAGUUUGGGGCUCAACGGUGAAAUUGCAGUUGAUACUGGCAGUCUUGAGUGCAGCAGAGGUGGGCGGAAUUCGUGGUGUAGCGGUGAAAUGCGUAGAUAUCACGAAGAACUCCGAUGGCGAAGGCAACUAACUGGACUGUAACUGACGCUGAGGCGCGAAAGUGUGGGUAUCAAACAGGAUUAGAUACCCUUGUAGUC